CUAUCCAUCCGUACCAUCAAAUCGCGUCGCCGAAAAAGUCGUAAUCGUGCCCUUUUCACAAUAGGGGUAUUCAGACCAGCCUUGUUAAAUCGUUAGUCGUUAUUCGGUAGUUUUUUACAUGUAUUUUGUUCUACCGAGUAACGAACUAUUCAUCUGGCAAGUUUGUUAAUUGUUUCGUUACUCGGUAAUAUCACAUCAGCUGUUUCUUGUUCGUUACUUUGUAAAUUUUUAACGGAAAAGUAAGUCUGGGGUUCGUUGGGGCUCUAUACAUUUUUAAAAGGGAAAAUAAAUUGGUGCUCACUUCUUGAAUUAGGAAAAUUUUUUGCAAAAUGAAACCUCGAAAGAAAAAAAGGCAGGAGAGCAAAGCCUCAAAAAAAGUGGAGUGGAAAAGAAAACCAUUUGGUUCUAGAAUAUUUACUAGAAAAUGUGGAAAUUGAGAAACCAAACGUCCAAUUGUACUACCAAGAAUUAAUUGAAACAACAAAUAUCGAUGCGACUAUGGAUGAAUAUAUAUAUCGAUGAACAUGUUGCGCUGCAAGGUUCGGUACUGGAAGCAGAUGUAUAAUAAACCGGUAUAAUAAGCGGCGCAAAUCGAAAGGUGCUGGAAUAGACGUUGGCGAUGAAGUUUCCUCAAUAAAAGCAUCACUUUGAAAUAUGCAAUUAUAUCUUCGUAUACUUGAGGCGUCGGUCCAGCAAAUACCACAUCAUAUUCGCAAUUCAAUUCGAUAAACAACAUGGGUUCUGCAUUGAUUGAUGACAUAUGAGAAAUUUUUGGUGUG
rnacentral:lncRNA from 1 species